rnacentral:rRNA from 1 species
ACAAAUGCCCUGCUUCCAGGAAAAGCCUCUAAGCAUCAGGUAACAUCAAAUCGUACCCCAAACCGACACAGGUGGUCAGGUAGAGAAUACCAAGGCGCUUGAGAGAACUCGGGUGAAGGAACUAGGCAAAAUGGUGCCGUAACUUCGGGAGAAGGCACGCUGAUAUGUAGGUGAAGCGACUUGCUCGUGGAGCUGAAAUCAGUCGAAGAUACCAGCUGGCUGCAACUGUUUAUUAAAAACACAGCACUGUGCAAACACGAAAGUGGACGUAUACGGUGUGACGCCUGCCCGGUGCCGGAAGGUUAAUUGAUGGGGUUAGCGGUAACGCGAAGCUCUUGAUCGAAGCCCCGGUAAACGGCGGCCGUAACUAUAACGGUCCUAAGGUAGCGAAAUUCCUUGUCGGGUAAGUUCCGACCUGCACGAAUGGCGUAAUGAUGGCCAGGCUGUCUCCACCCGAGACUCAGUGAAAUUGAACUCGCUGUGAAGAUGCAGUGUACCCGCGGCAAGACGGAAAGACCCCGUGAACCUUUACUAUAGCUUGACACUGAACAUUGAGCCUUGAUGUGUAGGAUAGGUGGGAGGCUUUGAAGUGUGGACGCCAGUCUGCAUGGAGCCGACCUUGAAAUACCACCCUUUAAUGUUUGAUGUUCUAACGUUGGCCCGUAAUCCGGGUUGCGGACAGUGUCUGGUGGGUAGUUUGACUGGGGCGGUCUCCUCCUAAAGAGUAACGGAGGAGCACGAAGGUUGGCUAAUCCUGGUCGGACAUCAGGAGGUUAGUGCAAUGGCAUAAGCCAGCUUGACUGCGAGCGUGACGGCGCGAGCAGGUGCGAAAGCAGGUCAUAGUGAUCCGGUGGUUCUGAAUGGAAGGGCCAUCGCUCAACGGAUAAAAGGUACUCCGGGGAUAACAGGCUGAUACCGCCCAAGAGUUCAUAUCGACGGCGGUGUUUGGCACCUCGAUGUCGGCUCAUCACAUCCUGGGGCUGAAGUAGGUCCCAAGGGUAUGGCUGUUCGCCAUUUAAAGUGGUACGCGAGCUGGGUUUAGAACGUCGUGAGACAGUUCGGUCCCUAUCUGCCGUGGGCGCUGGAGAACUGAGGGGGGCUGCUCCUAGUACGAGAGGACCGGAGUGGACGCAUCACUGGUGUUCGGGUUGUCAUGCCAAUGGCACUGCCCGGUAGCUAAAUGCGGAAGAGAUAAGUGCUGAAAGCAUCUAAGCACGAAACUUGCCCCGAGAUGAGUUCUCCCUGAGACUUAGAGUCUCCUGAAGGAACGUUGAAGACGACGACGUUGAUAGGCCGGGUGUGUAAGCGCAGCGAUGCGUUGAGCUAACCGGUACUAAUGAACCGUGAGGCUUAACCUUACAACGCCGAAG